UGGAUCACCUCCUAACAGGGAGACAACAAAAUGUUUGUAAUAAAUUUUGUCACCUUAGGUCGAUCGGAGCCUCUGAUUUUCGAAACUCUCGAAGAUUUCAAUUUCCUAAGUUUUUUCUAGGUCACACCCAUUUAUUCCCUGGGCCAUUAGCUCAGGUGGUUAGAGCGCACCCCUGAUAAGGGUGAGGUCCCUGGUUCAAGUCCAGGAUGGCCCAUAUCUCUAUUGGGGGUAUAGCUCAGUUGGUAGAGCGCCUGCUUUGCAAGCAGGAUGUCAGCGGUUCGAGUCCGCUUACCUCCACUGAAUACCACCUAAUUCAUUUAAAGGGAAAAUUUAUCUGGGUAUGACUUAAAUCUGGGAGAAUCUAGCUUCCUGUUAAUUUAAUUAAUAAGAUGCUGGAUUCAAUGAAUUUCAUAAUUCAAUGAUUCCAGAGAACCUUGACAACUGCAUAGAUUUAAUUUUUCAAGACAAUAAGCAUCUUUUAAGAUGCAGAUUUAUUAUUGGUGCUUAUGCAUUAAUAACAAUUCUAUUGAGCUGAUGCUUCAAAUAUUUUGAAGUCAUUGGUCAAGCUACAAAGGGCUCAUGGAGGAUACCUAGGCACACAGAGGCGAUGAAGG
rnacentral:tRNA from 1 species